rnacentral:rRNA from 1 species
CCUACGGGGUGCAGCAGUGAGGAAUAUUGGUCAAUGGGCUUACGCAUGAACCAGCCAAGUCGCGUGAGGGAAGACUGCCCUAUGGGUUGUAAACCUCUUUUGUCAGGGAGCAACGCCGGCUACGUGUAGCCGGACUGAGAGUACCUGAAGAAAAAGCAUCGGCUAACUCCGUGCCAGCAGCCGCGGUAAUACGGAGGAUGCGAGCGUUAUCCGGAUUUAUGGGGUUUAAAGGGUGCGUAGGCGGAAUGCCAAGUCAGCGGUAAAAUCGCGGGGCUCAACCUCGCUCCGCCGUUGAAACUGGCGUUCUUGAGUGGGCGAGAAGUAUGCGGAAUGCGUGGUGUAGCGGUGAAAUGCAUAGAUAUCACGCAGAACUCCGAUUGCGAAGGCAGCAUACCGGCGCCCAACUGACGCUGAAGCACGAAAGCGUGGGUAUCGAACAGGAUUAGAUACCCUUGUAGUC